rnacentral:misc_RNA from 1 species
AACGCACAUUGCGCCCCUUGGUAUUCCGGGGGGCAUGCCUGUUCGAGCGUCAUUACAACCCUCAAGCCUGGCUUGGUAUUGGGCUUCGCCACUAACCUGGCGGGCCUUAAAAUCAGUGGCGGUGCCUCCGAGGCCCUAAGCGCAGUAAAUAUCCUCGCUAUAGGGACCCGGUGGUUACUGGCCAGCAACCCCAACUUUCUAAGUUUGACCUCGGAUCAGGUAGGGAUACCCGCUGAACUUAA